GCGCACCAGGCGCGAAACUUCACAAUGUGCGAAAGCACGAUGAGGGAAUCCCAAGUGCUUGCACGUAAGUGUAAGCUGUUUCUCUGUCUAAAACGCAGAGAGAGUAAGGGCUGGGUAAGACGGGUGCCAGCCGCCGCGGUAAUACCUGCAGCUCGAGUGGUGACCGUUAUUAUUGGGCCUAAAACGUCCGUAGCCGGUUUAAUAAAUGCCUGGGUAAAUCGGACCGCUUAACGGUUCGAAUUCCGGGUAGACUGUUAAACUUGAGACCGGGAGAAGUUAGAGGUACUCCUGGGGUAGAGGUGAAAUUCUGUAAUCCUAGGGGACCACCAGUGGCGAAGGCGUCUAACUAGAACGGGUCUGACGGUGAGGGACGAAGCCCUGGGGCGCAAAACGGGGAUUAGAUACCCCUGUAGU
rnacentral:rRNA from 1 species